UUAUUGGGCGUAAAGCGAGCGCAGGCGGUUCUUUAAGUCUGAUGUGAAAGCCCCUGGCUCAACCAGGGAGGGUCAUUGGAAACUGGAGAACUUGAGUGCAGAAGAGGAAAGUGGAAUUCCAUGUGUAGCGGUGAAAUGCGUAGAUAUAUGGAGGAACACCAGUGGCGAAGGCGACUUUCUGGUCUGUAACUGACGCUGAGGCUCGAAAGCAUGGGGAGCAAACAGGAUUAGAUACCCUGGUAGUCCAUGCCGUAAACGAUGAGUGCUAAGUGUUGGAGGGUUUCCGCCCUUCAGUGCUGCAGCUAACGCAUUAAGCACUCCGCCUGGGGAGUACGACCGCAAGGUUGAAACUCAAAGGAAUUGACGGGGGCCCGCACAAGCGGUGGAGCAUGUGGUUUAAUUCGAAGCAACGCGAAGAACCUUACCAGGUCUUGACAUCCUUUGACCACUCUAGAGAUAGAGCUUUCCCUUCGGGGACAAAGUGACAGGUGGUGCAUGGUUGUCGUCAGCUCGUGUCGUGAGAUGUUGGGUUAAGUCCCGCAACGAGCGCAACCCUUAUUAUUAGUUGCCAGCAUUCAGUUGGGCACUCUAGUGAGACUGCCGGUGAUAAACCGGAGGAGGGUGGGGAUGACGUCAAAUCAUCAUGCCCCUUAUGACCUGGGCUACACACGUGCUACAAUGGAUGGUACAACGAGUCGCAAAACCGCGAGGUUAAGCUAAUCUCUUAAAGCCAUUCUCAGUUCGGAUUGUAGGCUGCAAUUCGCCUACAUGAAGCCGGAAUCGCUAGU
rnacentral:rRNA from 1 species